UUUUUUCCUUCUUUUCCCUUUUCUUCCCUUCCCUCCCCUUCCCUUCUCUUCUCCUCUUCCCUUCCCUCCGCAUAAAUAGACUCUCGAGCCUCUCCGGAUCUCGGAUUACGAGAGAAACAGGUCCGCCAAAGUUACACGCUUCCUACCUAUAUAUAUAUAUGUGUGUGUAUACAGUGUGUGUGAUCGUUUAUCAGUGAACACGGAGAUCUCGUUUCCCGUUGUAACACACGGAUAUAUACAUGCGGCGAGUGGUGAAACAACAACAAGGUUUCGUGAAAGUUAGUCGAGUGUUAUGCCCGUGAUAAAGGGCGCGUCAGAGGCGAGGCAGAGGAACGAGAAAUUUCGACCGGCGGCGACGACACGUCGCUGUUGACCGCUCCAUGCCCGGCGAGGAGAGGAGGAGAAGAAGGGGCGAGUGAUCGAGCGAGGCAAAAGAGGGAGGAAAAGCGAAGCAGGUGAACCAUCGGGUUCGCGCCACGCCCGUGGGAAUCCCGGAUUAAUGCACGCGGCGAAUAAUCGCAGCAUGGAGGACAUAGUGGCGGUGGGCAGCACGAGCACGCCAAGCACAAACACGGUUCAUCCGGGCGUGAACGACAUGGACUGGUUCGCCGGUGUGGCCGAGGAGGAAUUGCUGUACUACACGGGCGUCGGGAACGACGUCGACUCUCUUUGGGCUGUGAUCGGUAGCUUCGUGCCACCGCCGCCCAGGCCGCCUUAUUUACCGGAGGAGGGUGUUACCACCGACGGACUCACCACCUGUGACCUGUGCUCGUGGGCGUGGAGAAACGACAGGCAUUCCUUCUCCCUCGACGGCACCCUCGAAGCUCCAGGAGAACUUGGAUGGGUGCUUACUCUGGUGAUAGUGUCCUUAGUGUCGGCGGGUAUCGGCGCUGUGGUCAUGGUGACGCUUCUCCAUUGUCGAAGAUUGAAAAGCGCCGGUGGCAGAGCGAAUUGUUGCAACGUCGGCGUGGACGAUACGAACGCUCAAGAAGCCGGUGGCCCGGGUAACGGAGGAGGAGCUGGAGGUGGAGUGGCGGUUAUACCCGAUCGGCCGCCUCUCGAACUCGACAAGCUGCCACCUUAUCACGAUGUCGCUCCCAGUCCUGGCUCGCGACGCGGCGGCGGUACACCGGGAGUCGUGACGACGCCUCUGUCGCUUCCGCAACACAGACGAGCGAUGAAUCUCCCCGUGGAGAACCACUACACCCACAUGCAAACCGACGAGGCCCUAUACGCAGAACUGGACUCUCAGGCCGCGAGCUACGCGAGCGAUCUUCAGCUGCAAAUGAGAGGAAGCUCGACGUACGGUACGACUUCCGGCGGCCAGGACGACGAGUACCACGAGCUCGACGCCGCGAGGUUACAUCGUCAUUACGGCGGUAGCAACGGGGACGGAUCUCUGCAGAGGGACACGCUUCGUACGCGUCACAGUAAAAGGUUACAAGAACCGGAUUACGAGAUGUACGAGAACGGGCCGUCGACGCCGGUCCCGCCUGGUCAGAUGCAGCACCACCACCACCACCACCAUCACCACCACCAUCACAAUCACCAUCAUCAUCAUCCUCAGGAUGUACGGGUGGGCAGCAGGAACGGGGACCACCCCUCGUACCAAAACACCGCGUACACAGGAAGCGACGCGGAACCGGAUGGGCCGACGUUGAGCAGCGCGCCGAGCAGCGCCUACUACAGCGACCUGAGCUCGAAUUCGGCGAAUCAACAGAUGCCACCGGCGGCCGCCCCCUCCGGAACCGGCACGAAUCUCCACCUGAGCCAGCAGCAAGGGGGCCUGGAAACGCCUCAGUAUCGGUUGGCGGCGAUAAACGAGACCUCGGUACCCUCCGACUAUAUUUAGAAUCAAAUUUUUCUCCUCACCGCGAGAAAAUAAUUAGAGGCGUUUAUCUUUCUUUUCCUUCGAGAAGUCGAGAAAAAGAAGGAGAAGAAAAAGACUGAACGCGUUGCUUCCCAACACGACAAUCCCAACGACUCGGGACAUUACAAGAGCUAUUAUAGGAGAUAUUAGAUCGCGAGAGGUUAGGUUUGGUGGGGAACGUGGAAAGGGUGCCAUAAGAAAAACACUUUCGAUGUCUUUGAAAUUGGUUGGCGGACGCGACGAAAUGAAGAAGAAAACAAGGAGGAGAGAGAGAGAGAGAGAGAGAGAAAAGAAACGUAUUCUCGAGAACUAAAAUCCACGAAAGACACGGUGCUAAUUAAAGUUCCAAAAAAAAAAAAAGAAGAAAAAGAAAUAGAAGAAGAAAGGAGGGGGAAAAAAAG
rnacentral:misc_RNA from 1 species